AAAUUGAAGAGUUUGAUCAUGGCUCAGAUUGAACGCUGGCGGCAGGCCUAACACAUGCAAGUCGAACGGUAACAGGAAACAGCUUGCUGUUUCGCUGACGAGUGGCGGACGGGUGAGUAAUGUCUGGGAAACUGCCCGAUGGAGGGGGAUAACUACUGGAAACGGUAGCUAAUACCGCAUAACGUCGCAAGACCAAAGAGGGGGACCUUCGGGCCUCUUGCCAUCGGAUGUGCCCAGAUGGGAUUAGCUAGUAGGUGGGGUAACGGCUCACCUAGGCGACGAUCCCUAGCUGGUCUGAGAGGAUGACCAGCCACACUGGAACUGAGACACGGUCCAGACUCCUACGGGAGGCAGCAGUGGGGAAUAUUGCACAAUGGGCGCAAGCCUGAUGCAGCCAUGCCGCGUGUAUGAAGAAGGCCUUCGGGUUGUAAAGUACUUUCAGCGGGGAGGAAGGGAGUAAAGUUAAUACCUUUGCUCAUUGACGUUACCCGCAGAAGAAGCACCGGCUAACUCCGUGCCAGCAGCCGCGGUAAUACGGAGGGUGCAAGCGUUAAUCGGAAUUACUGGGCGUAAAGCGCACGCAGGCGGUUUGUUAAGUCAGAUGUGAAAUCCCCGGGCUCAACCUGGGAACUGCAUCUGAUACUGGCAAGCUUGAGUCUCGUAGAGGGGGGUAGAAUUCCAGGUGUAGCGGUGAAAUGCGUAGAGAUCUGGAGGAAUACCGGUGGCGAAGGCGGCCCCCUGGACGAAGACUGACGCUCAGGUGCGAAAGCGUGGGGAGCAAACAGGAUUAGAUACCCUGGUAGUCCACGCCGUAAACGAUGUCGACUUGGAGGUUGUGCCCUUGAGGCGUGGCUUCCGGAGCUAACGUGUUAAGUCGACCGCCUGGGGAGUACGGCCGCAAGGUUAAAACUCAAAUGAAUUGACGGGGGCCCGCACAAGCGGUGGAGCAUGUGGUUUAAUUCGAUGCAACGCGAAGAACCUUACCUGGUCUUGACAUCCACGGAAGUUUUCAGAGAUGAGAAUGUGCCUUCGGGAACCGUGAGACAGGUGCUGCAUGGCUGUCGUCAGCUCGUGUUGUGAAAUGUUGGGUUAAGUCCCGCAACGAGCGCAACCCUUAUCCUUUGUUGCCAGCGGUCCGGCCGGGAACUCAAAGGAGACUGCCAGUGAUAAACUGGAGGAAGGUGGGGAUGACGUCAAGUCAUCAUGGCCCUUACGACCAGGGCUACACACGUGCUACAAUGGCGCAUACAAAGAGAAGCGACCUCGCGAGAGCAAGCGGACCUCAUAAAGUGCGUCGUAGUCCGGAUUGGAGUCUGCAACUCGACUCCAUGAAGUCGGAAUCGCUAGUAAUCGUGGAUCAGAAUGCCACGGUGAAUACGUUCCCGGGCCUUGUACACACCGCCCGUCACACCAUGGGAGUGGGUUGCAAAAGAAGUAGGUAGCUUAACCUUCGGGAGGGCGCUUACCACUUUGUGAUUCAUGACUGGGGUGAAGUCGUAACAAGGUAACCGUAGGGGAACCUGCGGUUGGAUCACCUCCUUA
rnacentral:rRNA from 1 species